GGUUAAGCGACUAAGCGUACACGGUGGAUGCCCUGGCAGUCAGAGGCGAUGAAGGACGUGCUAAUCUGCGAUAAGCGUCGGUAAGGUGAUAUGAACCGUUAUAACCGGCGAUUUCCGAAUGGGGAAACCCAGUGUGUUUCGACACACUAUCAUUAACUGAAUCCAUAGGUUAAUGAGGCGAACCGGGGGAACUGAAACAUCUAAGUACCCCGAGGAAAAGAAAUCAACCGAGAUUCCCCCAGUAGCGGCGAGCGAACGGGGAGCAGCCCAGAGCCUGAAUCAGUGUGUGUGUUAGUGGAAGCGUCUGGAAAGGCGCGCGAUACAGGGUGACAGCCCCGUACACAAAAAUGCACAUGCUGUGAGCUCGAUGAGUAGGGCGGGACACGUGGUAUCCUGUCUGAAUAUGGGGGGACCAUCCUCCAAGGCUAAAUACUCCUGACUGACCGAUAGUGAACCAGUACCGUGAGGGAAAGGCGAAAAGAACCCCGGCGAGGGGAGUGAAAAAGAACCUGAAACCGUGUACGUACAAGCAGUGGGAGCACGCUUAGGCGUGUGACUGCGUACCUUUUGUAUAAUGGGUCAGCGACUUAUAUUCUGUAGCAAGGUUAACCGAAUAGGGGAGCCGAAGGGAAACCGAGUCUUAACUGGGCGUUAAGUUGCAGGGUAUAGACCCGAAACCCGGUGAUCUAGCCAUGGGCAGGUUGAAGGUUGGGUAACACUAACUGGAGGACCGAACCGACUAAUGUUGAAAAAUUAGCGGAUGACUUGUGGCUGGGGGUGAAAGGCCAAUCAAACCGGGAGAUAGCUGGUUCUCCCCGAAAGCUAUUUAGGUAGCGCCUCGUGAAUUCAUCUCCGGGGGUAGAGCACUGUUUCGGCAAGGGGGUCAUCCCGACUUACCAACCCGAUGCAAACUGCGAAUACCGGAGAAUGUUAUCACGGGAGACACACGGCGGGUGCUAACGUCCGUCGUGAAGAGGGAAACAACCCAGACCGCCAGCUAAGGUCCCAAAGUCAUGGUUAAGUGGGAAACGAUGUGGGAAGGCCCAGACAGCCAGGAUGUUGGCUUAGAAGCAGCCAUCAUUUAAAGAAAGCGUAAUAGCUCACUGGUCGAGUCGGCCUGCGCGGAAGAUGUAACGGGGCUAAACCAUGCACCGAAGCUGCGGCAGCGACGCUUAUGCGUUGUUGGGUAGGGGAGCGUUCUGUAAGCCUGUGAAGGUGUGCUGUGAGGCAUGCUGGAGGUAUCAGAAGUGCGAAUGCUGACAUAAGUAACGAUAAAGCGGGUGAAAAGCCCGCUCGCCGGAAGACCAAGGGUUCCUGUCCAACGUUAAUCGGGGCAGGGUGAGUCGACCCCUAAGGCGAGGCCGAAAGGCGUAGUCGAUGGGAAACAGGUUAAUAUUCCUGUACUUGGUGUUACUGCGAAGGGGGGACGGAGAAGGCUAUGUUGGCCGGGCGACGGUUGUCCCGGUUUAAGCGUGUAGGCUGGUUUUCCAGGCAAAUCCGGAAAAUCAAGGCUGAGGCGUGAUGACGAGGCACUACGGUGCUGAAGCAACAAAUGCCCUGCUUCCAGGAAAAGCCUCUAAGCAUCAGGUAACAUCAAAUCGUACCCCAAACCGACACAGGUGGUCAGGUAGAGAAUACCAAGGCGCUUGAGAGAACUCGGGUGAAGGAACUAGGCAAAAUGGUGCCGUAACUUCGGGAGAAGGCACGCUGAUAUGUAGGUGAAGUCCCUCGCGGAUGGAGCUGAAAUCAGUCGAAGAUACCAGCUGGCUGCAACUGUUUAUUAAAAACACAGCACUGUGCAAACACGAAAGUGGACGUAUACGGUGUGACGCCUGCCCGGUGCCGGAAGGUUAAUUGAUGGGGUUAGCGCAAGCGAAGCUCUUGAUCGAAGCCCCGGUAAACGGCGGCCGUAACUAUAACGGUCCUAAGGUAGCGAAAUUCCUUGUCGGGUAAGUUCCGACCUGCACGAAUGGCGUAAUGAUGGCCAGGCUGUCUCCACCCGAGACUCAGUGAAAUUGAACUCGCUGUGAAGAUGCAGUGUACCCGCGGCAAGACGGAAAGACCCCGUGAACCUUUACUAUAGCUUGACACUGAACAUUGAGCCUUGAUGUGUAGGAUAGGUGGGAGGCUUUGAAGUGUGGACGCCAGUCUGCAUGGAGCCGACCUUGAAAUACCACCCUUUAAUGUUUGAUGUUCUAACGU
rnacentral:rRNA from 1 species